AACGAACGCUGGCGGCAGGCUUAACACAUGCAAGUCGAGCGCCCCGCAAGGGGAGCGGCAGACGGGUGAGUAACACGUGGGAAUCUACCCAUCCCUGCGGAACAACUCCGGGAAACUGGAGCUAAUACCGCAUACGCCCUACGGGGGAAAGAUUUAUCGGGGGAUGGAUGAGCCCGCGUUGGAUUAGCUAGUUGGUGGGG
rnacentral:rRNA from 1 species